rnacentral:rRNA from 1 species
UACGAAGGGGGCUAGCGUUGCUCGGAUUGACUGGGCGUAAAGGGCGCGUAGGCGGAAUGCUUUGUCGGGCGUGAAAUUCCAGGGCUCAACCUUGGGGCUGCGUUCGAGACGGGUAUUCUUGAGUUCGGAAGAGGGUCGUGGAAUUCCCAGUGUAGAGGUGAAAUUCGUAGAUAUUGGGAAGAACACCGGUGGCGAAGGCGGCGACCUGGUCCGAGACUGACGCUGAGGCGCGAAAGCUAGGGGAGCAAACAGG